CACUCACCCGCCUGCCGCCACCACCAACACAAGCACCACAGCCGCUUCACUUGGUAUGUCAGAGGAGUUAUUUACACAUCCGUUUGAAGAAAUGAGUGAUGGCCAAACCAUUAUUGACAGAGGAUGCAGAUAACAGGGAUAUGUCUCAAUCAGGCAGCAUUACAUAUGUACGGUGUGAUGAUGAUGAUGUUGUACCCGCUGCUGCUUCCUUUGCUGAGUUGUCAGAUACAAGUGAAGCGG